rnacentral:misc_RNA from 1 species
AAGUCGUAACAAGGUAUCCGUAGGUGAACCUGCGGAUGGAUCAUUACUAAAGGACCUAUCCAACGUCCUGUGAACUGUUUUGAAAUUUUUGUCAGCGGUCUUCACCGGCUGCUGGCAUACCAUAAACGUAUAACCUAAACUGAAAUCUACUAGUAAGAACUAAGAGAACUUUUAGCAACGGAUCUCUUGGCUCUC